CACCGUUGGCUUUUAUGACAUAUUUUACGAGUCCAUUGUGCUGAAGGUGCUGGAAUGCCAGGAGUACAUUCCAGCCAUCUUAAAGCCAACUCUACGCACCCCGUGGAUCUCCGAGGGCACUAAGAAAACAACUGUGAUGUUCUAUGCCUGGUCACAAAUUAAGAAGAAGAGGGAGUGUUUAAUGAGGCCUGAUGCGCUGUACCACCAUCUGUAUGAGGUGUUUGACUACACAGACCCAGUGAUCCUGUGGGCAGCCUAUGGACCACAGAGCAAGACCAAAGA